AGUUCUCUUAAGUACAUAAUUUGGCCCCAGCCAUCACUGCUCCCUAAAGGUUCAGUGGCUACAUGCUCACCUGGGUAGGCUAUGCAUGAAAACCUCCCCGUGGAACUGGUCUCUUGGCUUCUCUGCCAAGAUGCGCUGAGCAAUGGAUUUGCAAUUCUCCUCUCAAGUUUGGUCUGUAACGAAGACACCUGCUCACCAGGAAAUGAUCCGAGGCCACCAACUCAUUCCACAUACCCAGUGAACAGCUGUCACAUGAUAACAACUUCGAGGCACUACUGACCUGUGACAAAUCUGAACCAAUGACCUAGAGGUGAAAGAUUGGGUAUACUGCAGCUGCGGAAAUUAUCGCAUCCCUGAGGCCCCAGCAAUGGCUGCAAGUGAAGAUUGGCUACUAUACUGAAAUCUUGAAGGAAGAUUUAUUUCUCCCGGACGCCAGUGGAUCUCCCUGGAGCAUAGCUUGGCUCUUCAGGCUAUGUGCUGGGAACAGCAUUUGCCCCAUUGAGAGGGAAUUGACCAUGACACCGCGGGUUAGCUGGUACUCUUUUAAAAAAGACCCAUGUAAUUUUUAUCUUACACUUGGACAGGUGCCAGAGACAGGCAGAAGAGGACUGGGUUUAGCAUAUCCUUUGAAGAACAGCACAUUAAACAGUGCAGCACCCAUGAUACUGCAAUGUCAGUAUACUUGAACUCACAUCAUCUUCCUCACAGUUAAAAGUGAUGCAAAAGGCACUAAGUAGUGGGUGUAAAGUAGAAGCCAAACUGAAAUAUAGAGCUUCUCCUAAAGAGUUCAUUGUCUUUAUAUCACAUCACCCAGGCCCUCUUUAGCAUGUAAAAGCUUUUUAUAAGCACACGUUUGAAGAUUUCUAAUCUAUUUAGUGGAACUGUGUCAUCAUAUACUAAAUAUACUAACUUACAUGAGUGAAAAGUUAAGGUUGCAAAUGUAAGCACAAAAAUAUUGUGAUCUGCAGCUCCUUGCAGU